UGAGCCCUCUCUCCAGCCUUCAAGGUACACCUUGCCAGGCAUUUGAUUACUUAACGAAUGCAAGUAACUCCCGUAGUAACAGGGUUAAUUCUUUGAGAGAAUAAUAUCGCUGUCAGCACACGCGCCCGUAUUGGGCGCCCAAAUAUAUUAAGCAAAUAUUAAAACAGAAAACAGAAACAGCAAGAGAUUUCAGUAACCCACUUUAGCUAUCGUGCCAGAUCAUCGGGAUGAGAAAUCCACAAGGAAGCCACACGGUGGACAGAUGGACCUGACGGCUAAACCCAGAGCUCGUGUUCACUCGGCAGCAUAAGGAGAGUCAAGCACGUACAGACUUACCAGAACAGAGAUCCCAGCGACAAAUCCACGCAUCUAUGGUCAAUUAAUCCUCAACAAGCAGGUCAAGCGCACACACUGGGGGAGGGGCAGUCUCUCCAAUAAAUGGUAUUGAGAAAACCAUAGCUGUGUACAAGACCCUUAUCACCCUAUACUCACUCAAAGUGGACUAAGGACUUAAAUAGAAGGCCCCAGACUGAAGCCAGAGGACCCCCGGGCCGAGCGGAGGCAGUCUGUCAGUUCCUUCUGGGUCCGAGGACAACUUGCAGGAGUUUUAUCUCUCUCCACCAUUUGGGUCCUGGGAAUUGAACUCCUGCUGUCUGGCUUGGCGGCAAGUGCCUUUACCCGCACAACUGUCUCACCAGCCCUUUUGUUCCUCAGACAAGUAUCGUACACCAGGCUAACUCCAAAGAUGACGUCAGGCAAAGAUGACCUUGAAUGGAUCCUCCUGCCCCUGCUUCCUGGGUCCUGAUAGGCAAUGAUACCUGGUUUACCUCUGACUUCUGAUCGAUAUCAAGGUAGCACUUUGGAGAUUGAAGCAGGAGGAUGAACUAUAAUUAUUUCAAGGCCAGCCUAGUGUAUAGAAUAAGAUUCUUGUCUUGAUCGGAAGGAAACAGAUGCUGGAGAGAGAAGAAAGAGGAGAAGGGCUGGAGGGACAGCCCAGCCGUUAAGAUCACUGCUCUCGUAGAAGACCCUUGUUCAGUGCCCAGAACGCACCUGGAGGCUCAGGACUGCCCAUAACUCCGUUCCGAGGAAUCCAACACCCACAUCGGUCUUCCGUGGACUCCCAGCUUAGAACGUGUGCAAUCCCACAGGCUAGGGUCUCCUCUUUUCCAAGUUAACAUCAUAAACGGUUAUGAGGAGAGCAGCGUGCUGUCUCCGCUUACUGCCAAGCCUGAGAACCUGAGUUGGAUACCCCAGAGCCCGCAUGGUGGAAGGACAGAACGACUCCUGCAAGUUCUCCUCUGACAUCUACACUCGUGCGUUGUAGUGGCUCAUGGGCCCCUACUUCCAGAAGUAAAUU
rnacentral:sRNA from 1 species